CAGCAUUUAUGUGCAUGUGGAGGUGUAAAGAGUGUUCACUGGCCGCUUCAAAUAAAUGCAGAAUUUAAGUGCAUCACAGUCCACCUGCAGUCCAGGUUUCUCUCACAGCUCGACAUUCAUGCUGCCAGACUUUUAAAACUGUUCAAGAAGAGAGGAGGGCAGUUGGGCAAAAAGUUGCAAAGCAUUGUAGAACCAACAAAAGAGGGUGAUGUUGAUUUGGUAAGAGAGUGCAUAAUCAAGGGGCUUUGUGUGUACCUCAAUGAGGACCCAG